UACGUAGGCAGCGAGCGUUGUUCGGAAUUACUGGGCGUAAAGAGUGUGUAGGCGGUGCUCUAAGUUCGGUGUGAAAUCUCCUGGCUCAACUGGGAGGGUGCGCCGGAAACUGGAGUGCUUGAGCGUGGGAGAGGAAAGCGGAAUUCCUGGUGUAGCGGUGAAAUGCGUAGAUAUCGGGAGGAACACCUGUGGUGUAGACGGCUUUCUGGACCAUAGCUGACGCUGAGACACGAAAGCGUGGGUAGCAAACAGG
rnacentral:rRNA from 1 species